AUUGAACGCUGGCGGCAGGCCUAACACAUGCAAGUCGAGCGAGCGGCGGACGGGUGCGUCCUGUAUGGGGACUGUCCGUUAGAGGGGGAUAACUACUGGAAACGGUAGCUAAUACCCCAUACUCUCGGAUUAUCCCUAUUGGAUUAGCUAGUCGGUGAGGUAAUGGCUCACCUAGGCGACGAUCCCUAGCUGGUCUGAGAGGAGGAGCAGCCACACUGGGACUGAGACACGGCCCAGACUCCUACGGAGGCAGCAGUGGGGAAUAUUGCACAAUGGGCGCAAGCCUGAUGCAGCCAUGCCGCGUGUAUGAAGAAGGCCCUCGGGUUGUAAAGUACUUUCAGUGGGGAGGCGUUACCGACAGAGGAAGCACCGGCUAACUCCGUGCCAGCAGCCGCGGUAAUAC
rnacentral:rRNA from 1 species